GUCUGACUUAGACAUCUUCACUGUUGGAUCUCUGAGGGAUUUUAUUUUCUUUGUUGUACUCAAAAUGGCUUUAGGCACAGGGAAGAAUUCUCCAUAUUUCUUGUUAAAAUGUUGUGCUAUAUCUUGGGCUAGUUCCAGGUGCAGGACUUGAUCUUCUCCAACGGGAACAUGUGUCGACCUUCUGUCCAUUUUCCUUUUUCUUUGAUCCUUGGUUCAUCUGAAUUCAUACUGUUUUUC
rnacentral:lncRNA from 1 species